UACAGUAUAUAUGAUGUGCUGC
rnacentral:miRNA from 1 species